AAAAAGCUUUAAGCCCAUAGUUAGGGCCUUCAUAGCAGAAGAUUUCAAAUAUCCAUGGGGCAUUGCAUUUUAUUCUUGUUGUCAGUCUUAACUGAUUUUUAAAUGAUGUUUUAGUGAUGAGCUGCUUAGAUCUGGAUUUAUAGUUUGAUUUUAUUAAUACUAUUGUUAAAUCAUUUUAUUUUAGCUGUCAUCAGUCAUGGUUGUUUUAUGAAGUUGUGCUUUGAAUCCAAAUAUGGUCAUAACUUCCUUACCCUGUAGGGGUCUUUCUUAUAUGAUCACAUCACAGAAGCAUUCAUUGUGACCAUUCUCUGACAUAGAGACAGGUUUGCCUAUAAAUAGGGCAGGACCACCACUUGAAGUCUCAGGCUCCCCAAGGCAGAUGAUGCUCCCACUGCUACAAGCUUGAAAAAGAAAAGCAACAUCAAAUGGCAAGUUUCAAACGCAGCAGAAGCUGGAGCCUGACUCGUCAACGCCGUAGGCGGCGACGGAAGAGCCAAGCAAGUGGAUCUGGAAGGAGGCGGAGAAGACGACACCAUGGCAGGAGAAAAGGCCGUAAGUCUCGUGGCCGGAGAAGACGGCGAAGGAGACAUCAUUAACCUCUUCCAUCUCCAUGGUGUUCUGUGCCCUUGAUUUCAAAUGCCAUCAGCCUAACAGAAGCUUUGCUUAAUAAAAGAAAUGGAACAACUUUGAGAACAUCUAACACAACUUCCUGAGAUUCAAGGAGCCUGCAACCAUUUGAACAAUGUCACCUGUCAAUAAAAUGCUGAAAUUUCA